rnacentral:hammerhead_ribozyme from 1 species
AUCCGGCUGACGAGUCUCGAAUAGGACGAAACGAGCGUUCUUGAU